GCCUUCGUGGUGUAGUGGUCAGCACGCUCGGCGCGUAUUCGAGAGGUCCGUGGUUCGAGUCUCGGGGAGGGCA
rnacentral:tRNA from 1 species